rnacentral:piRNA from 1 species
AUAAGGACUGGCAGAAUGGGUAG